GGUUGUAUAGUGUAGCGGUUAGCACGUGAGAUUCUGAAAACAGAGUCAUGUUCUUGGAACGUUCUCGAGUGUAAGUCAUCCAUACAUUCGCUACCCAUAUGACGAUCAGUCUAAUAAUAUAAACCCCAGCCCUGGUUCGAAUCCUGGUACGACCU
rnacentral:tRNA from 1 species